AACGAACGCUGGCGGCAUGCCUAACACAUGCAAGUCGAACGAGAUCUUCGGGUCUAGUGGCGCACGGGUGCGUAACGCGUGGGAAUCUGCCCUUUGGUUCGGAAUAACAGUUGGAAACGACUGCUAAUACCGGAUGAUGACGAAAGUCCAAAGAUUUAUCGCCAGAGGAUGAGCCCGCGUAGGAUUAGCUAGUUGGUGUGGUAAAGGCGCACUAAGGCGACGAUCCGUAGCUGGUCUGAGAGGAUGAUCAGCCACACUGGGGCUGAGACACGGCCCAGACUCCUACGGGGGGCAGCAGUGGGGAAUAUUGGACAAUGGGCGAAAGCCUGAUCCAGCGAUGCCGCGUGAGUGAUGAAGGCCUUGGGGUUGUAAAGCUCUUUUACCCGGGAUGAUAAUGACAGUGCCGGGAGAAUAAGCUCCGGCUAACUCCGUGCCAGCAGCCGCGGUAA
rnacentral:rRNA from 1 species